AGAGUUUGAUCCUGGCUCAGAUUGAACGCUGGCGGCAUGCCUUACACAUGCAAGUCGAACGGUAACAGGUCUUCGGAUGCUGACGAGUGGCGAACGGGUGAGUAAUACAUCGGAACGUGCCCGAUCGUGGGGGAUAACGCAGCGAAAGCUGUGCUAAUACCGCAUACGAUCUACGGAUGAAAGCAGGGGAUCGCAAGACCUUGCGCGGACGGAGCGGCCGAUGGCAGAUUAGGUAGUUGGUGGGGUAAAGGCUCACCAAGCCGACGAUCUGUAGCUGGUCUGAGAGGACGACCAGCCACACUGGGACUGAGACACGGCCCAGACUCCUACGGGAGGCAGCAGUGGGGAAUUUUGGACAAUGGGCGCAAGCCUGAUCCAGCCAUGCCGCGUGCAGGAUGAAGGCCUUCGGGUUGUAAACUGCUUUUGUACGGAACGAAAAGGUCUUCUCUAAUAAAGAGGGCUCAUGACGGUACCGUAAGAAUAAGCACCGGCUAACUACGUGCCAGCAGCCGCGGUAAU
rnacentral:rRNA from 1 species